rnacentral:rRNA from 1 species
UGCGUACGCUGGCGGUGGGCUUAACACAUGCAAGUCGAACGGAAAGGCCCUGCUUUUGUGGGGUGCUCGAGUGGCGAACGGGUGAGUAACACGGGUGUAACCUGCCCUUGACUUUUGGAUAGCUUCAGGUAACUGGUGCUAAUACCGGAUAGGAGCUCCUGCUGCAUUGUGGGGGUUGGAAAGUUUCGGCGGUUGGGGAUUGACGCGCGGCUUAUCAUCUUGUUGGUGGGGGGGUGGCUUACCAGGGCUUUGGCGGGUGGCCGGGCUGUGAGGGUGACCGGCCCCAUUGGGACUGCGAUACGGCCCAGACUCCUCCCGGGGGCAGCAGUGGGGACUAUUGCCCAAUGGGCGGAAGCACGAUGCAGCACCGCCGCGUGCGGGAUGACGGGCUUCGGGUUGUAAACCGCUUUCGCCUGUGACGAAGCGUGAGUGAAGGUAAUGGGUCAAGAAGCACCGGCUAACUACGUG